UCUAGAAUUCAUGGGCUGCCUAACGUGACCAUUCUUGGAUAAUAUUGUUCAGUGAAGUUGGAUAGGUUGGGUAGAAACGCUGUUGCAUCCAUCCUUGGUAUCAUCAAAUGCCAUAUAGAAUGAAAAGUCAUGUACAUUUUUUCAUUUCUUUUCCAGCAAAGGAAUGUUGUAAUAAGUUAAGAACUGAUGCCUAUGGAUAAAUUAAAUGUUUCCUGGUUCUCUACAUUUCAUUGCUAGUUUCGAAGGAACAUAUCCUUUGAGGUCCUGGCACCAUGAGAUCACACAAGUUCAGGCUGAGAGGACAAUAGCAUACACAAUUGUACCUAAUCUUAUUUUUUGUUUUGUUAAUAUUGGAUCUUGUAUCCAUUCUUCAAAGAUAACGAUAUACAAGAUCCAAUAUUAAC
rnacentral:misc_RNA from 1 species